rnacentral:rRNA from 1 species
UACGAAGGAGGCUAGCGUUGCUCGGAAUCAUUGGGCGUAAAGGGUGCGUAGGCGGCGCGGUAAGUCGGGUGUGAAAUCUCGGGGCUUAACUCCGAAACUGCAUUCGAUACUGCCGUGCUUGAGGACUGGAGAGGAGACUGGAAUUUACGGUGUAGCGGUGAAAUGCGUAGAUAUCGUAAGGAAGACCAGUGGCGAAGGCGGGUCUCUGGACAGUUCCUGACGCUGAGGCACGAAGGUCAGGGGAGCAAACGGG